rnacentral:rRNA from 1 species
CCCUUAGAUGUUCUGGGCCGCACGCGCGCUACACUGAUGCAUUCAACGAGCCUAUCCUUGACCGACAGGUCCGGGUAAUCUUUGAAUCAGCAUCGUGACGGGGAUAGAUUAUUGCAAUUAUUAAUCUUCAACGAGGAAUGCCUAGUAGGCGCAAGUCAUCAGCUUGCGUCGAUUACGUCCCUGCCCUUUGUACACACCGCCCGUCGCUCCUACCGAUUGGGUGUGCUGGUGAAAUGUUCGGAUCGGCCGUUUGUCGCGGUUUCCGCGUCAUGUGGCUGAGAAGUUCAUUAAACCCUCCCACCUAGAGGAAGGAGAAGUCGUAACA